GCGCCCAUAGCUCAACUGGAUAGAGAACUUGACUACGAAUCAAGCGGUUAGAGGUUCGACUCCUCUUGGGCGCA
rnacentral:tRNA from 1 species